UGAGCUCCAUUGGAUGGGUCGAGCUAAGAACAAGCUGGGAAAACUAAGAUUGAGCUCAUUGAGCUGAAGUUUAAGCUUCAUCUUGCACUUGGGCCCUCAUGUUUUGAUCAUUCUCGAUGGCGUCGAGUGGUAUCGAAACAUGAUGCAGUCGGGAUCGCAUCAUUAUCGAUAGACGAUUUUCCUUAUGAGAGAGAGAGGUAAGUUGAACAUUGAUACUUCUCCACAAGUGCUACAAGGUAAAAAAGGUAAGAAAACAUUAGAAAUUGAUUUAAGAAGGCAUACCUUAAAUGUUUUUUUAUAAGUAUGCUACUGCUUUUGUUUGUAAAGCAUUUCCUUACAACUUGUUUUCUCGUUCGUCAAAUUUUAUUAAACCUUGGUCUGAAAGUUCAAUUGAUUUUAUGGGUUUAUCUAGAUAUGUCAAGGUUACUUUUGUUGCAUUCAAUAUGUAUUUUAAAUGACUUUAUGCAUUUGAUCUUGCAACAAAAUUUUCUAUCUUAGACUUUACAUAUGAAUUUUUAAAUAAUAAUAUUGAACUUCUGAAUUUUGAUUAUUAUGUGAAAUUAUUGACUAAUCUUUGGAAAUUCUUAUAGAUGACCAUACAUAUUCAAAAGAAGUUACAAUUUAUUUUUUUACUUGAACACUCAUGUGUCUAACAUUUUUUUGUUUAGUUUUGAUACCUUGUUUUUAAAGGAGACAUCCAUGAUCGAAGCUAAUUUGAAGGAUCAAAAUAAUGCCUUUGAUCCUCGAGAUAGUUUGGGUGCACAAGAAAGUUGAGGUAAGUAUUUUUUUAUUUUAUUAUUAUUUAUUCUAAUCCAUUUUCUUUUGAGGCAGUUAAAGAUUCGAGGAUGAAUCUUCUUGAGGAAGGGGAAUGAUGUAAGUCUCAAUGCCCAAAAUCAGGCUCAUGAACGUGAUGGACUCAAAUUUCCUCAAGGCUCAAUAACGAGGUCAAAGGCCAAGCAAAUCUGAGCAAGAUUGAAUGGGACCAUCCAAGACUUCGUUAUCAAAGCCCUAAAUGCACAUACAACCAAAAAAGAAAAUCAAGAUUCACUUUCUUGUUUUCAAGAAAAUUAAGAAACCGAAUCUUGGUCCAAUUUUGUUGUUUCAAACAAUUUCAGAAAUCAAGAAAAUCAAGAUUUUAAAUAUUGGAAAUCUUGGUCCAAGAAAUAAAAUCUUGUAGCCAAAGCUCAUUGGAUUUCAUGUAUGAGUUUGAACGAGCCAAUUUUGAGAGCAAACGGAUCACAAGACCAAAUUCUUGAAAAAAUGGCCCAUUAAGAUGUCUAUAAGCUCAUCAUGAAGUUUGGAAAGUAAUUUAACUGAAUAUCAGGCCAAAUUAUCAAAGUGACCCAAAUUGUAAAAUAUUUAAACUAUAGGUCCAAUUUUAUUUUAAUAGGUGGAUCAUCAUGUAAGAAUUCAACCUAAGGAGCCCAUUUAAUUCCUUAGGUCGAAUUCCCAUUAAAUGUCCACUCUUAGAAUUUUUUUAUUUUUUUAUUUGAUGAGUUGUCAUGUUAGUUAUUCCAUCAGGGUUAGGAAAACUUAUUUUGGGGGCCUAGAAGUAGCAUGGACAUCCACCCCUUAAAAAUGAACAAUUAUUUUUGUUUUUUUAAUUAAUAAUAAUUAUCUUUGAGUUCUUCUUCAAGAAUUGCUCUUGAGUUUCU
rnacentral:lncRNA from 1 species